ensembl:lncRNA
CCUUAUUACACGUAUUAAAUAAUUAAAUUCCUUAAUAAUAAAAUCCACCCUAUUUAUAUAAAUUUAGAGUGAACAUGGGUGGAGUGUUUUUAGGCAUUGUGAUUCAUUGACUAUUACCUGUCUAUAUUAUAUAACCUGUCUAUAUUAUAUAAUACUACUGUAUUAUAUACUUAAACUUGUUAGUGUAUAAAAGUAACAUACUGUAACAUACUGUGGGUGCUGGUAGGUGGAGGAUUAGUGGUGCCACAGGACUGUUCUGUGAUGGAGCAUCAGUGAUGAUGCAGGUCAGGAGUGCUGAGGGGACCAUGGUGAGAAUGAAAACAAAAGGUAUGUUUCAAAUAAGCCAGCAAUAAAGUAGUGUGCUAAAUGUGUAUUGUACUGCUGUUUUAUACAAGGAAUCAUACUAAACUAAACAUGAAAUAUAUAUUAUAAAUAAUAAUUUAAGGAAUCAUACUGCAGUGAGGACCAAUGAUGUUAUAGGCCGUGGGUCAGUGAUGUCGGCUGGGUGCUGGACUGGUAGGUGGAGGAUUAGUGUUGGCUGGGUGCUGGACUGGUAGGUGGAGGAUUAGUGUUGGCUGGGUGCUGGACUGGUAGGUGGAGGAUUAUUGUUGGCUGGGUGCUGGUAGAUGGAGGAGCAGUGAUGUUGGCUGAGGGCUGGACUGGCAGGUGGAGGAUUAGUGUUGGAUGGGUGCUGGACUGGUAGGUGGAG